UUACGGUCAUAUCACGCUGAAACAUCGGUUCUCGUUCGAUCACCAAAGUUAAGCAACGUCGAGCUUACUCAGUACCUAGAUGGGUAACCGCCUUGGAAUAACAGUUGCU